rnacentral:rRNA from 1 species
AUUGAACGCUGGCGGCAUGCCUUACACAUGCAAGUCGAACGGUAACGCGGGGCAACCUGGCGACGAGUGGCGAACGGGUGAGUAAUGCAUCGGAACGUGCCCAGUAGUGGGGGAUAGCCCGGCGAAAGCCGGAUUAAUACCGCAUACGACCUAAGGGAGAAAGCGGGGGAUCGCCAGACCUCGCGCUAUUGGAGCGGCUGAUGUCAGAUUAGGUUGUUGGUGGGGUAAAAGCCUACCAAGCCGACGAUCUGUAGCUGUUCUGAAAGGACGACCAGCCACACUGCGACUGAGACACGGCCCAGACUCCUACGGGAGGCAGCAGUGGGGAAUUUUGGACAAUGGGGGCAACCCUGAUCCAGCCAUGCCGCGUGCGGGAAGAAGGCCUUCGGAUUGUAAACCGCUUUUGUCAGGGAAGAAACGCUCUGGGCUAAUACCCCGGGGUAAUGACGGUACCUGAAGAAUAAGCACCGGCUAACUACGUGCCAGCAGCCGCGGUAAUAC